rfam:Capsicum annuum cultivar Zunla-1 chromosome 2, whole genome shotgun sequence
GAGAGCGCAGUAUAAUGAAGAGUUGUAUGUUGCGUUCGGCAAGGAUGAAUCGCUUCAAAAAGAAAAUUUAUUGAUUCUCUCCCAAUUGGUUAGAUCGUAGAUGUGACGAUUUACUUUAA